UACGUAGGCAGCAAGCGUUGUUCGGAGUUACUGGGCGUAAAGGGUGCGUAGGCGGUCCUAUAAGUAUGGUGUGAAAUCUCCCGGCUUAACUGGGAGGGUGCGCUAUAGACUGUGGGACUAGAGUGUGGGAGAGGAAAGUGGAAUUCCUGGUGUAGCGGUGAAAUGCGUAGAUAUCAGGAGGAACACUGGUGGUGUAAACGGCUUUCUGGACCAUAACUGACGCUGAGGCACGAAAGCGUGGGUAGCAAACAGG
rnacentral:rRNA from 1 species